rnacentral:rRNA from 1 species
AUGGUGGUGGUGAAGCAACUGCUGGACCAGCAAGAUCGGCAGAAGGUGCAGGUGUUGCCCAUCUUUGGGAUGGGUGGUCUUGGCAAGACCACUCUAGCUAAGAUGGUGUAUAAUGACCAAGGGGUCCAGCAACAUUUCGAGAUGAAGAUGUGGCACUGUGUGUCCGACACCUUUGAUGUUAUUUCUCUUUUGGAAUCCAUCAUUGAAUUGGAUGUAAGUGGAAGAUGUGACAUGCCUGACAUGAUUGAGCUGUUGCAAAAGAAACUUGAUCAAGUCAUUGGCCAAAAAAGGUUUAUGCUCGUUCUUGAUGAUGUGUGGAACGAAGAUGAGAGGAAGUGGAAGGAUGUGCUGAAGCCUCUUUUGUGUUCUGUUGGUGGACUGGGAAGUGUUAUAUUGGUUACAUGUCAAACCAAGCAAGUGUCCUCGAUAAUGUGCACGGUCAAGCCCCAUGAGUUAACAUUUUUGAGUCAACAAGACUCAUGGGAAUUGUUUUCGAACAGAGCAUUUAGCAAUGGUGUAGAUGAGCAACCAGAGUUGAUCACCAUUGGAAGGCGUAUUGUGAAUAAAUGUGGGGGGUUGCCUCUUGCUCUCAAGACAAUGGGUGGAUUGAUGAGUACAAAGCAAAAAGUACAGGAGUGGAAGGCCAUCGAAGAAAGUAACAUUGGAGAGAAUGAUGGAGGCAAAUAUGAGGUCAUGCCCAUACUGAAGUUAAGCUACAAAUACCUAUCAUCUGAAAUGAAGCAAUGUUUUGCAUUCUGUGCAGUCUUUCCCAAGGAUUAUGAGAUGGAGAAGGAUAGGUUGACCCAACUAUGGAUGGCAAAUGGUUUUAUUCAGGAAGAGGGGAUAAUGGAUUUAGUACAGAAAGGAGAAUUCAUUUUUGAUGAGUUGGUUUGGAGGUCCUUCCUCCAAGAUAAGAAAGUGGUGGUCAAAUCUGCUAACUAUCUUGGUUACACAAAAUAUGUGUCAAUUGUAUGUAAAAUGCAUGACCUAAUGCAUGAUAUAGCAAAAAAUGUCACGGAUGAGUGUGCAAGUAGAGAAGAAUUGUCUCAGCAGAAAGCAUUGUUAAAAGGUGUUUGUCACAUGAAAACAUCAAAGGCUGAAUUCGAGCAAAUCAGUGGGUUAUGCAAAGGCAGAAAACUCCGCACUUUGUUAGCUCCUUCAGAAUCAUGGAAGGAUUAUAAUUAUAACUUCUCGAGCAAAUCACACAAGGAUAUUAAGGAGUUGCAACAGGUAUUGACAUCACUAAGAGCAUUGAAUUGCUCCCCUUCUCCAAUUGUCAUUCGCAAGGCCAUAAAUGGAAAACAUUUACGGUAUCUUGACCUCUCUGGGUCUGACAUUGUUAGGUUGCUAGAUUCAAUAUGUAUGUUGUAUAACCUGCAAACACUGAGGCUCAUAGAUUGUCAGAAGUUGCAGCAGUUAGCAGAAAACAUGGCAAGAUUGAGAAAGCUCACCCAUCUUUAUUUUUCUGGUUGUGGUAGUCUUAGAAGUAUGUCCCCAAAGUUUGGUCUAUUGAACAACCUUCACAUAUUAACAACAUUUGUUGUGGGUAAUGGAGAUGGCCUUGGGAUAGAUCAGCUCAAAGAUUUGCAACACCUUACCAAUAGGUUGGAACUGCUAAAUUUGAGCAAGAUAAAGAGUGUCGAGAAUCCAAAAGAAUCCAACAUCAAUCCGAAGAAAAAUCUAAGUGAGUUGUUGUUCUCUUGGGACCAAGGAAUAGAUGAUGAGCCUAGAGAUGUGGAAGUGCUUCAGUGUUUAGAACCUCAUAGUAAUAUCCAAAAACUGGAGAUACAUGGAUAUGAUGGCCCAGAAAUAUCACAAUGGAUGAGAAACCCUCAGAUGUUUAGUUCUUUGAAAGAACUUGAAAUGUACAACUGCCCACAAUGCAAGAGCAUCCCUGUAAUAUGGCUCUUGGUCGCUCUAGAGAUUGUGUCCUUACUUAAGAUGGAUAACCUCACAACAUUGUGUAGUAACUUUGAUGCGGAAGGUGGAGGAUGA